AACAAGGCGUACCUGCGGACCUGCGGAAGGAUCAUUACAGAGUUGCAAAACUCCCUAAACCAUUGUGAACCUACCUUCUACCGUUGCUUCGGCGGGCGGGCCUAGCGCCCCCCCGGCCCCCCGCGGGCGCCCGCCGGAGGAUAACCAAACUCUUGACAUCAGUGGCCUCUCUGAGUAUUCUUUACUGAAUAAGUCAAAACUUUCAGCAACGGAUCU
rnacentral:misc_RNA from 1 species